rnacentral:rRNA from 1 species
CAGCAGCCACGGGAAAACGGAGGGGGCUAGCGUUGUUCGGAAUCGCUGGGCGUAAAGGGUGCGUAGGCGGGUCUUUAAGUCAGGGGUGAAAUCCUGGAGCUCAACUCCAGAACUGCCUUUGAUACUGUUUGGCUUGAGUUCGGGAGAGGUGAGUGGAAUUCCCAGUGUAGAGGUGAAAUUCGUAGAUAUUGGGAAGAACACCAGUGGCGAGGGCGGCUCACUGGACCGACACUGACGCUGAGGCGCGAAAGCGUGGGGAGCAAACAGGAUUAGAGACCCCCGUAGUCCCUGUCUCUUAUAC